AACGAACGCUGGCGGCAGGCUUAACACAUGCAAGUCGAACGCAUCCUUCGGGGUGAGUGGCAGACGGGUGAGUAACGCGUGGGAACGUGCCCUUCAGUCCGGGAUAACCCAGGGAAACUUGGGCUAAUACCGGAUACGUGCGAGAGCAGAAAGAUUUAUCGCUGAAGGAUCGGCUCGCGUCUGAUUAGCUAGUUGGUGGGGUAAUGGCCCACCAAGGCGACGAUCAGUAGCUGGUCUGAGAGGAUGAUCAGCCACAUUGGGACUGAGACACGGCCAGAACUACUACGGGAGGCGGCAGUGGGGAAUAUUGGACAAUGGGCGGGAGCCUGAUCCGGCCAUGCCGCGUGGGUGAUGAAGGCCUUAGGGUUGUAAAGCUCUUUCGUCCGGGACGAUAAUGACGGUACCGGAAGAAGAAGCCCCGGCUAACUUCGUGCCAGCAGCCGCGGUAA
rnacentral:rRNA from 1 species